GAUGAACGCUGGCGGCGUGCCUAAUACAUGCAAGUCGAGCGAACGGACGAGAAGCUUGCUUCUCUGAUGUUAGCGGCGGACGGGUGAGUAACACGUGGAUAACCUACCUAUAAGACUGGGAUAACUUCGGGAAACCGGAGCUAAUACCGGAUGAUAUUUUGAACCGCAUGGUUCAAAAGUGAAAGACGGUCUUGCUGUCACUUAUAGAUGGAUCCGCGCUGCAUUAGCUAGUUGGUAAGGUAACGGCUUACCAAGGCAACGAUGCAUAGCCGACCUGAGAGGGUGAUCGGCCCCACUGGAACUGAGACACGGUCCAGACUCCUACGGGAGGCAGCAGUAGGGAAUCUUCCGCAAUGGGCGAAAGCCUGACGGAGCAACGCCGCGUGAGUUAUGAAGGUCUUCGGAUCGUAAAACUCUGUUAUUAGGGAAGAACAUAUGUGUAAGUAACUGUGCACAUCUUGACGGUACCUAAUCAGAAAGCCACGGCUAACUACGUG
rnacentral:rRNA from 1 species